GGCCGAGGUGGCCAGGCUCAAGCUCCUCCUUUUGGAGAAGGAAAAGGAAGAGGUCUUGGGCGGGGGCUGAGGGCCCCCCUCUGCGCCC
rnacentral:tRNA from 1 species